rnacentral:rRNA from 1 species
CCUACGGGAGACAGCAGUAGGGAAUCUUUCACAAUGGGCGAAAGCCUGAUGGAGCAACGCCGCGUGCAGGAUGAAGGCCUUCGGGUUGUAAACUGCUUUUAUAAGCGAGAAAUAUGAUGGUAACUUAUGAAUAAGGAUCGGCUAACUACGUGCCAGCAGCCGCGGUCAUACGUAGGAUCCGAGCAUUAUCCGGAGUGACUGGGUGUAAAGAGUUGCGUAGGUGGCAUAAUAAGUAGCUAGUGAAAUCUGGUGGCUCAACCAUUCAGACUAUUAGCUAAACUGUUAAGCUCGAGACCGUUAGGGGUAGCUGGAAUUUCUAGUGUAGGAGUGAAAUCCGUAGAUAUUAGAAGGAACACCAAUAGCGUAGGCAGGUUGCUGGGACGGUUCUGACACUAAGGCACGAAAGCGUAGGGAGCAAACGGGAUUAGAUACCCGAGUAGUC